UACGUAGGGUGCGAGCGUUGUCCGGAAUUACUGGGCGUAAAGAGCUCGUAGGUGGUUUGUCGCGUUGUUCGUGAAAACCUGAGGCUUAACCUUGGGCGUGCGGGCGAUACGGGCAGACUGGAGUACUGCAGGGGAGACUGGAAUUCCUGGUGUAGCGGUGGAAUGCGCAGAUAUCAGGAGGAACACCGGUGGCGAAGGCGGGUCUCUGGGCAGUAACUGACGCUGAGGAACGAAAGCUAGGGUAGCGAACGGG
rnacentral:rRNA from 1 species